UACGGUCACACUGCCACGCAAUUUGUUUUGCUGCUGAAAAAAUUAAAUUCAUUUUAGUUUUUAGCAAAAAACAAUCAUCUACACCAAACAACUGUGUGGUUUUGGCCCAAGAGGCUAAGCACAGCAAAAGCGAUCACCAGUCAUACACAAAUCGAGAUAAAGCGCUCCUUGAAUCGGUGUGAGGCCCACCUCCAACCUACAGGCAGCUGAAAAGACAUAAAGGCCAGAUUUUUAUAGCGGAAUUCCAUCCGGAAAGGAGUUGCUGCUUUCUCCGGGUUCCGCAGGCAAAUAUGUGAGUGAAACGGCAGGAAGUGUAAUAUGAGGGGUCUGCGUGUUGUCUAAAUCCUCAAAAACAAGUAUCAAUUAUGUCCGGGUAAAGUUUAUAUGCCAGCGCAUCGAUGCCUGCUGGACUAGACUACAUUUUUUUACAUUUUUUGUUGACGCAUUCUCCAUAUUGGGUUAAUGUUUUCAACCAACCCUUUUAUAAUUGCAUUUCUUUAAAGACCUCGUUAAAAUGUAAAAGUGAUGUGGGUUUUAUUACAUACAAAUUGCUGAUAAUGGGAAUAAAUAAAUGUUAAUGACUCAACCUGUGAAUAAAUGUUAUCUACAAUAAGUACUGUA